GUCAACACUAUGGAAAAACCUCCACAGACAGAAUAUGAUGAAAGUCUGGGAGCAUUAUCCCAUUGAAGAUGCCCUGUUGUCACAAAAAAGCCAUGAAAGCCAACAAGACUGAAACAAAUUUCUGCUGAAGAAAUCUAUGUCCAGAUGUUGUGCAUGACUUCACAGGAUUUACUACAAAGCCAAUCAAGAAAAUCAUGAAAGAGAUUGUAGACAUGGCAAAAAGGGUGGGGAGUGAUAUGUUUCAAGAUAUGGGUCUUAGAGAAAUUCAAGAGCUAACAGAUACCACACCAGAGGAAUUAACAGAAGACAAGGUGGAGAUAGAUGCUUCUGAACCACUGCCAGACAGUGAGAAAGAUGCAGAACAGUGCCAGAAAACAAACUGACAUUAGACAAUCUGGCAGAAUGGUUCUGAAUAUACAAGACUACUCUUGACUUCUUUUACGACAUGGACCCUUCUAUGAUACAGAUGGUGGCAGAAGAAAACACCGAAAACAAUACCACUACCCCACUCCCUUUAUUAGAAAAAAGUUAAAAUACAAAUUCUAUUACUGUUUACCUAGGACCUAACUUCACACGGCUGACAUUUCUCAAAGAUAGGUCAUAGGACCCCCAUUCCAGAAAGGGUGCUGUUCCAUACCCGGAAGGAAAGAAUGCUGCACAGAGAGGCCAAGAAGAAUCUAUACAGACAGGCAGGCCUUGCUGGGUUUCCCCACUCAGUACAUGGCUGUCCAGACUUUGCUGAACCUAAGCAUACCGAUGGACAGUUUUCUCCUAUAUCUUUAGGUCUUUAUUCUGAAGGCUCCCAUGUCACAUAACACCAAGAUCAAAUAAAAUCAUAUGCCCUUUCUCCUAU